rnacentral:rRNA from 1 species
GAAAGCGUGGGUAGCGANCAGGAUUAGAUACCCUGGUAGUNCACGCCGUAAACGAUGAGUGCUAGGUGUUAGGCCCUUUCCGGGGCUUAGUGCCGGAGCUAACGCAAUAAGCACUCCGCCUGGGGAGUACGACCGCAAGGUUGAAACUCAAAGGAAUUGACGGGGGCCCGCACAAGCGGUGGAGCAUGUGGUUUAAUUCGAAGCAACGCGAAGAACCUUACCAGGUCUUGACAUCCCGAUGCUAUUCUUAGAGAUAGGAAGUUACUUCGGUACAUCGGAGACAGGUGGUGCAUGGUUGUCGUCAGCUCGUGUCGUGAGAUGUUGGGUUAAGUCCCGCAACGAGCGCAACCCUUAUUGUUAGUUGCCAUCAUUAAGUUGGGCACUCUAGCGAGACUGCCGGUAAUAAACCGGAGGAAGGUGGGGAUGACGUCAAAUCAUCAUGCCCCUUAUGACCUGGGCUACACACGUGCUACAAUGGUCGGUACAACGAGUUGCGAGCCGGUGACGGCAAGCUAAUCUCUGAAAGCCGAUCUCAGUUCGGAUUGGAGGCUGCAACUCGCCUCCAUGAAGUCGGAAUCGCUAGUAAUCGCGGAUCAGCACGCCGCGGUGAAUACGUUCCCGGGCCUUGUACACACCGCCCGUCACACCACGAGAGUUUGUAACACCCGAAGUCGGUGAGGUANCCUUUUAGGGGCCA